AUGGAGAAGAUGAUGCAGGAACUAGGGCUGAAGGAGGAGGAUCUUGAUGAUGUGAUCUUUGACGAGGGAGAGGCUACGCAGGCGGAACCUAGAUGGACUGCGCUGGCCCGGGUCAACACCAACAAAACCUAUAGCCAGACAUGGUUCUACAGAAACAUGCGAUCUGCGUGGGAUGUAGCACAGCAGGUGAAAUUCAAGCCUCUCGAGGAUAACCUCUAUACGGUUCAGUUCGCGUGCCUUGGGGAUUGGGAG
rnacentral:rRNA from 1 species